ensembl:snRNA U7 U7 small nuclear RNA
AAGAAUUACUUUUGGAAUUUUUCUAACAGGAUUUCUGACUUGGGUCAAGAAAACCCAU